CAGCAGCAGCCGCGGGAAUACGGAGGGUGCAAGCGUUAAUCGGAAUUACUGGGCGUAAAGCGCACGCAGGCGGUCUGACAAGUCAGAUGUGAAAUCCCCGGGCUUAACCUGGGAACUGCAUUUGAAACUGUCAGGCUGGAGUCUUGUAGAGGGGGGUGGAAUUCCAGGUGUAGCGGUGAAAUGCGUAGAGAUCUGGAGGAAUACCGGUGGCGAAGGCGGCCCCCUGGACAAAGACUGACGCUCAGGUGCGAAAGCGUGGGGAGCAAACAGGAUUAGAUACCCGCGUAGUCCCUGUCUCUUAUAC
rnacentral:rRNA from 1 species